rnacentral:rRNA from 1 species
AGCAGCCGCGGUAAUUCCAGCUCCAAUAGCGUAUAUUAAAGUUGUUGCAGUUAAAAAGCUCGUAGUUGAAUUUCGGGGUUAGCAGGUCGGUCGUGCCAUCGGUAUGAACUGGUCUCGCUGAUCCCUCCCUCUUGACGAACUGUGAUGCCAUUAAUUUGGUGUCGCAGGGAAUCAGGACUGUUACUUUGAAAAAAUUAGAGUGUUUAAAGCAGGCUCACGCUUGAAUACAUUAGCAUGGAAUAAUGAAAUAGGACGUUUGAUCCUAUUUUGUUGGCUUCUAGGAUUGACGUAAUGAUUAAUAGGGAUAGUUGGGGGCAUUAGUAUUCAAUUGUCAGAGGUGAAAUUCUUGGAUUUAUUGAAGACUAACUACUGCGAAAGCAUUUGCCAAGGAUGUUUUCAUUAAUCAAGAACGAAAGUUAGGGGAUCGAAGACGAUCAGAUACCGUCGUAGUCUUAACCAUAAACUAU